GUUGAGGCUCUCAUAUGUGCACAAUAUUGGCUCUGUUCUUCCUCUACUCCAAUAAGCCUGAGGACUUUAAUGGAUGAAGUGGAGGAAUUUGAGAAGCAGAUAGAUAUGGGAGAACUUGUUGGGGAAUUGGCUUAUUCUGCAGAAGGAUCAAAUGAAAUGGCUACCGAGUCUUAACCCAAUGUUGAUGUAAUCAUAUCUGUGAAUCGUGAUCUCAACCUUGAUGGAGAAAUUGAUCGUGAGGAAUUUGCUAAUAGUCAGGGACUGAUUAAACAAUUACCUAAUUGUAUAAUUUGUAUUUUGUUUUGAUGUAAUUAUGUUAACUUUUAGAUGCUACUGUUGGUCUUUUUUUAUUUUUUACGUAAUUUAUGCUAGUGUUAGUCUGUUAUAGUGCACUGUGCAUCAGUGCUUUUGAUGUAAAUUAUUAAAUAUAACUUCUAAUCUUUGAUAGUUCUUUUUUUUUAAGACUUUUUAAUUUUUAGUUUUUAAA